rnacentral:tRNA from 1 species
GGAGAGAUGGCAGAGCGGUUGAAUGCGGCGGCCUCGAAAGUCGUUUCCCGACGUGUCGGGACGGGGGUUCGAAUCCCUCUCUCUCCG